rnacentral:rRNA from 1 species
AAUUCGAUUGAGUUUGAUCAUGGCUCAGGAUGAACGCUGGCGGUCUGCUUAACACAUGCAAGUCGAACGGAACUCUUCGGAGUUUAGUGGCGGACGGGUGAGUAACGCGUGAGAAUCUGCCUUCAGGUUGGGGACAACAGUUGGAAACGACUGCUAAUACCCAAUGUGCCGCGAGGUGAAAGCUUUAGUGCCUGAAGAUGAGCUCGCGUCUGAUUAGCUAGUUGGUGAGGUAAUGGCUUACCAAGGCGACGAUCAGUAGCUGGUCUGAGAGGAUGAUCAGCCACACUGGGACUGAGACACGGCCCAGACUCCUACGGGAGGCAGCAGUGGGGAAUUUUCCGCAAUGGGCGCAAGCCUGACGGAGCAAGACCGCGUGAGGGAGGAAGGCUCUUGGGUUGUAAACCUCUUUUAUCAGGGAAGAAGAUCUGACGGUACCUGAUGAAUCAGCAUCGGCUAACUCCGUGCCAGCAGCCGCGGUAAUACGGAGGAUGCAAGCGUUAUCCGGAUUUAUUGGGCGUAAAGCGUCCGCAGGUGGUUUUUCAAGUCUGCUGUUAAAGCGCAGAGCUUAACUCUGUAACGGCGGUGGAAACUGAGAGACUAGAGUAUGGUAGGGGUUGCGGGAAUUCCCAGUGUAGCGGUGAAAUGCGUAGAUAUUGGGAAGAACACCAGCGGCGAAAGCGCGCAACUGGGCCAUUACUGACACUCAUGGACGAAAGCUAGGGGAGCGAAAGGGAUUAGAUACCCCUGUAGUCCUAGCUGUAAACGAUGGGUACUAGGUGUUGACCGUAUCGACCCGG